rnacentral:rRNA from 1 species
GACGAACGCUGGCGGCGUGCCUAAUACAUGCAAGUAGAACGCUGAAGAGAGGAGCUUACUCUCCUUGGAUGAGUUGCGAACGGGUGAGUAACGCGUAGGUAACCUGCCUUGUAGCGGGGGAUAACUAUUGGAAACGAUAGCUAAUACCGCAUAACAAUGGAUGACACAUGUCAUUUAUUUGAAAGGGGCAAUUGCUCCACUACAAGAUGGACCUGCGUUGUAUUAGCUAGUAGGUGAGGUAAUGGCUCACCUAGGCGACGAUACAUAGCCGACCUGAGAGGGUGAUCGGCCACACUUGGACUGAGACACGGCCCAGACUCCUACGGGAGGCAGCAGUAGGGAAUCUUCGGCAAUGGGGGCAACCCUGACCGGGCAACGCCGCGGGAGUGAAGAAGGUUUUCGGAUCGUAAAGCUCUGUUGUAAGUCAAGAACGAGUGUGAGAGUGGAAAGUUCACACUGUGACGGUAGCUUACCAGAAAGGGACGGCUAACUACGUG